UCUGUAUUCUUUCUCUUCGCAGUUGACUAUUGUCUAGAUUCUUCUAUUUCAGGAGGUCAGCAUGGGUUCCUCUCAGACUUGGGCAAUAAUUCAUGAGAUUUGUGUUGGCGUAAUCCAAGGUCAACACAAGCUACCUACAUGGCUUUGCCAAUUACCCUGCAAGACACUUCACAACACCCUGUCAUGAUGCUUCUGACGAAAGCAACUGGAAGGAGUUGAAACAUGUAAAUUAGACAUCUCUUGUAUUCCAUCCUGUCCCAUUGGCUGUCUGGUCAUCUGUCCCAGUGGGAGUGCCCAGAGCAUCCAUCCGUCCAGGGGGUAGGCACCUGGACCCAUCCUCUCCGUCCUGGCUGCACUCCAGAAUAUUCUCGACUCCGGUUACCUGCUGCAGAAAGCAAAUGAGGCGAAAGAGGAGACUGCGCAGUAUUGUCCCUCUGUGGAUAAGGAUGGCAGCUCCAGACGCCCUCUCCCCUGAGCCUGUAGCACUGUACU